AUGAACGCUAGCGAUAAGGCUUAACACAUGCAAGUCGAGGGGCAUCACGAGGUAGCAAUACUUUGGUGGCGACCGGCGUACGGGUGCGUAACACGUAUGCAACCUUCCUGUAAGUGUGGGAUAGCCUCCUGAAAGGGAGAUUAAUACCUCAUGAUAUGUAUUUGCUGCAUGGCAUUUACAUUAAACAUUUAUGGCUUACAGAUGGGCAUGCGUUCCAUUAGGCAGUUGGUGUGGUAACGGCUCACCAAACCUACGAUGGAUAGGGGUUCUGAGAGGAAGGUCCCCCACACUGGAACUGAGACACGGUCCAGACUCCUACGGGAGGCAGCAGUGAGGAAUAUUGGUCAAUGGGCGCGAGCCUGAACCAGCCACGUCGCGUGAAGGAUGACGGCCUUAUGGGUUGUAAACUUCUUUUACAGGGGAAUAAAGUGAGUCACGUGUGAUUUUUUGCAUGUACCCUGUGAAUAAGCAUCGGCUAACUCCGUG
rnacentral:rRNA from 1 species